GAGAAAAUCAACAAUUUGACCAAAGAAUCUGAAAAGUUAAAAUGUUUGUUAGCAGAAUAUGAAGAAGAAAUAAAUAGAUUAAAAAUGGAAGAGAUAUGUGUUAAAGAAAUGUGGCGUGAUAGUACAUUUAGAUCGGAUACAGAAAAAGAAAAGCGUGAAAAGAUAAUACACGAUUAUAAACAAAUUCUAUCGCAAUCAGAGUCCAGAUUUGAACAGGAAAAAAAAGAAUUACAAUCUGAGUUAUUGCAAAUAAAG
rnacentral:lncRNA from 1 species